CCGGGCCGUGGAGCUUCUCUGGGAGGCUCAGCACCCAUUUUUGAGCCCCUGGCUUCCCAGCUGGGGGUGGAGGGUGGGGAAGUGACCCAAGCUCCCACACGGACUGCACGGCAACCUGAAGACGCCUUUGGAAAGCUCCAGUCCUGGAGGUGGGACUCGUAGACCCAUUUGACAGAUGAGGAAACCCAGGUUCAAAAAGGCAAAGUGACUUUUUCCAGCCAAGGAAAUUAUGAAAUUGGAGAAAUGCACCAAGAAAAUUAAAAUCACCUGUAUCCUUGCCACCCAGAAAAAGACACAUAAAUAUGUUUUGUUUACGCUCUCCUGAUGUUUAGACAGAUAAGCAGUUAGAUCUGAGAAAGAGAGAUGACCUUACAGACGCACGCACUGAUGGAUAGACAUUUUUAAAACCAGAGCUGAGAGAAGAGAGCAGAUUCUGUUUUGCAGAGUUUUUUGUUCAAUUAACAUGGAUGAUGCAGUUCUGAUGGCCACUUCCUGUGGGGGCUCAAGGAGGUGAAAUGACUCGUCUGUGCUUACACAGCCUUAAGAGGCAGCCUUAUGAAAAGACAGCAAAGGCAACAAAUUAUCUCCCCAACUUGCGGCUUUGUUGCAAAGGCCUCUGGGAAGCUCUUUUCUACAUGCCUCGCUGUUGAGCUGACCACAUCCUGCAACUCUGCAGGCACAGCUAGACCUGAGGCAGCCAGGGUCAAGUCCUCAAGUUUGCUUCUCAUUGGAACACGCGGUCUGGCUCAGCGACCAGGAGAGAACGGGUCAGGGCCACUGUAACUGUUACCAGGUUGACCCGAAGUGGGAGGAAUUUCCUGAGCAUCUUCUCGCUUGCUGUCUCACCUGAUCCUCCCUGGAGCACCACCAGGUGGGCAUCCUUGUGCCAAUUUACAGACAAAGAAGGCAAGAGAUUGCACAGCUCUCUUGAUGACCCCAAAGUGGCCUUUCUUCCUCCUACAAGCAUCUUGACGGCUGAAUUGUUGCUGCUUAUUGCCUCGAACAGUUGAGAACGUUCUAAAUGGAAAUGGUGUGAAUGCGACAAAGAGGGCUUGGGGCCCAUCCCCACAUGGCUUCCAAACUUGCUGCACUGCAGAGGUGUGGGGACAUCUUCCAGGGCAAAGAGCUUUGAACUUGGGCCGGGUUGCUGGCCUGGCAGGGUGUAUAUUGGGCAGAUCACUCCAAACUGUGGUUUUUCUGCCUAUGGCAUUGGGCUGAUGGGGAACUAGUGAGAAAAAGCAUGUGGUGUGCUCAGCCCAACACCAGCCACACAGGGCAGAUUUCUGCUUUUCAUUAUUACUAGGAGUAGGAGUCCAGCCUCACUUCUUCCUCUCUGGCUGGUGGCCCCUGGGAUCCAAUCAGACUACAGCUGUCUCAGAGUAUUUCAUGCAAGUGAGGGCUUUUAGUCCAACCUCACUGGGAGGUGGCAUGGAAAUAGGUAGAUCGGAGUGGCCUACACUGUGUGGACUCCAGUGGAUGGGACAUGUGAUCCUCUCUGCAUAUCACCCUGGGUGAUAGGAGCUGGAGGUCCUGGGAUGUAUGGCUCUAGAGGGAGGUUCUUGCCAAUGGGCUGAACUGGUCCCUGGAUGGAGACAUCUCAUCCCUGGGGGUCAUUCCGCAGAAGCAGGCUGGUGGUUGUCACUUCUACAGCCCCGCCAUGUGAUGUGUGUGUGUGCGCAUGUGCACAUGCAGAUACGCACACACAGGUAGAAGAGAGGCGGAGUCUGCAGGACCCCAUGGCUGCCUCUCACCAUGAAUCUGGAGUUGAUUGUUUCUUCUCCCAUCUCUUUCCUUCCUUUUUUUCUUGCCUUUAGCCUGUGCACAACUGAUACCCUUUCCACAUGAAACAUCACAAAAAAAUUAAACUAAAACAUGGCUUAAUUUCAAUCUGGCUGGAAAAAGACAACUGAUUAGGCAGGGAUCUGACCCGCCUGUGUGCAGAGCUCAGAGGGCUAAGACCUGGGAGCCACCCAAUCCCUGCAGACGGCAGUGAGGAAACAGAGGCACACAGAGGGUAAGGGGAUCGCUGACAGUCUCAUAGCUUGUUAGCAGCAUAGACGGGAUCUGAACUCAGAAUUCUUUGAGAGUGUUUCUUUUUUUUCUGAAAAAAUAUUACAGUCACUUUACAUUCCUAAAACCCCAAAUUAACCAUUUGCCAUUUUUUCCAUAUUUGUUUCAGUUCCUUUCCUAGGAGUAUAGCUGAAAGAGUCUGCCAGCAGACACUUUAAAAACUAUUAGAACUGUUUAGAUAAAUCUCCAGCUGUCUCCCAUGACCACUACUCCCAUCCUGGUCCAUUCCCUUUUCCACAAAAGUAGCCAUUAUUAUAAGUUUGAGGUCCUUCCUUCCAAGCCACAAAAAUUACACACACACACACACACACACACACACAAUAUGUAGUAUUGUUUUUGUGACUAAGCCUUUCUUUACAUAUUUACAUAAAUAGUAUCUUGUACCAUAUUGUACAGGACCAUCAGGAACCCAUUUUUAUUUCCCUUCGUGGUGUGUUUUGGGGGAUCUGUUCUUGUUGAUGGAGGUUGAUCAUUUUCCUGUGGCUAAGAAGACUCCUUUGCACUCUCCUGUCACUUCUUAAUUGCCCACACACUCAUGGAUUAUGAUCAAGCUGCAUGGCUUGCCUUUCCAUGAAUUUCUGAGCAAUGAACUAGAAACCAGAAGGACUCUUUGUGGCUUGUUUCUGCCCAGGACUUGAAAUUACAGGAGGACCCUGUGUGAGUCAUGUUACCAUUCUGUGCCUCACAUGUCUUAUCUGUUGAAGACAACUUGCCAAAGAAUUGUGUGGAUAAAUGUGAAGUUCUACCACAGCCUCGGCUGUCCCCACACUUAAGGGUAUAAGGAUGAAAACUCUUGUGUCCAUUAUGGGGUUUGUUUGGGAUGGAAUAACUCCCCCCUGUCCCCUCUUAUGUUGCUCUCUUUAUGUGUAUAACUUUUGUCAUGGCAAUGCUGUGCUUUCUGUGACAGCUCAGGAUAUAGUGGGUCUACAAUGGGAAAGUCACCCAAGGAGUGGAGAAGGAGGGGUCCCUCUUGAAGGGUGAGGUCAUUCUCAGUCU